rnacentral:lncRNA from 1 species
AAAUGCCAAUCCUGCACGUGGGCAGAUAAUAGCUUAUGCCAGCUUUGUUUCUUCAGUCUUAAAAGGCAGAUGAUAUAUCAGUUGAAAUCCUGUGUACUUGGUUCCCUGCCAGGCCUUGUUCAUUUAAAUUCCUGGCUUGCCCCCAGCUCAGGGAAGUGAGUCACAUUUCCCAAACCUUCCCCAAAUCCCGUCCUCAUCGAAUAAUUUCAGUUUCCCCUCAGUGUUAGUUGACAGCACACGGGGACCUGAUCGUGUUUGGAGAGAGCUCCCUCAGUAGCCUGGGAGCCAGAACAAGAAAAGAGGUGGUGGUAUGUUUAGCAACAGAAGAACUCAGUGGAACCUUGUCCCAAGAACCAUAUUUUGAUGCGAUAUCAAUCUUAACAAGCAGAACUUUUGCUUCUGGGGCUGAUCCGGAGGCUGUGAAGACCCGUGAGCUUCGCAAGCACAACCUGAUAACUCCUGUGGAUAAUUUUAACGUGAAUGCACAUUACAGAAAUCACCAAGAGUCACGGAUCCGUUUACCGAGGAGCUGAUGCUGAGAUCCUGACUCUGAGAAAAACAGAUAAAACUCUCCUGACGUCGCAAUUCCAUCAAGAAGCCUUUAUAUCAAGUGCCCUUCUCGUUGUUUUUUUAUACCCUUACUUUUCUCCUAUUUUAAUUAAAGCCAAAACAAGUGUGUUUAUGUCAUGCAGUCCUUUUUGUGGUCCUGCUGAUGUCUUUGAAAGUCCAAACACUGACUGCUAAUUACUUUAAAAGACCAUAGGUCAAGGUAACUAGUAGUGAAGUCAACAUGGCAUUUCUAUUGAUUAUGUCCUACAACCGCCUCACCUAAUUGGAACCAGUUGGCUAGUAGGUUGCUUUUUUAACUGACCUCCUUUAACCUUUAAAAUCACAAGCUACGGAGAUGCCUGUGGGUUUUGAGUCCCAUAUAAUACUGACAUUCUUUGCUUCUGAGGUUUCUUCUGAUUAGAGCUUGAGCUUCUAAAGUGACGUGACGCCGUGGAGAGCUUACAGCCAAGAGGGCCGGGGCGCGCUUCUCCAUCUGCUGAUUGAAUGCACAUGACAACAAACCACCGAGUGCAUUGCCUUCAGCAGGAGCGGGAGGAACCUUUGGUGAAGCUCUUGUAUUUAACCUUCUCUUUAACAACCAGCAUGGCCCGAAAAAAAAGAGGCUCCUUCCUUUGUUUUAGAGGGAGAAGGAAGGCAGAAGAAAGGCAGUUACUCAGAUCUUGAUUUGAACGCUGACGUACAAAGACACCGAGCUGAAUCCAUGCAAAACAACUAGAAAAUACUGCUGCUGCUUGGAAGCAGAGACAGGAAGGAGCCUGAAGGCUUCACUGGGCUGCACAGCAAGAAGUCUGAAGUGUUUGUAUCUCAGGAAAAAAAAUUGGAAUUAAUCAGUACGAAUUCACUGUAUAAAUUCUUUUAACCUACGCUCCGAUUGGUACAGGAACCUUCUGAAUUCUUCUCUGGUUAACACAUUUCCUAAUGUCUCAAUUCCGCAUAAACUUGAAAUAUGUUACUUAAUAAUAAAUUAUAAUCC